rnacentral:lncRNA from 14 species
GCCAGCGUUGCCUUGGCGGAGCGUAGGCAGAGGCGCACUCUGCAAGCGACUCUGCCCCACUGACUUGGUCAAAGUCGCAUAGAAAAUCUUUGGCAGGGCUGUGAAUAGAAUGAGGCGAUGCUGUCCCAUGGGAGAGAAGAAAGAAGCUUUGCCUGCCCCAGUUCCUGGGAUUCAAAUAGCCAUGGAAGUACAGGACUAGAGAGUGUGCAAAUUGCUCAAGGGGAGGAGAUGAUUCUCCUAAAGUGUGAAAAGUCUCAGUCAAGCUUUCAUCUAAGUGCAAAAGGAAACCUCCAUCCUUCUGCAAUGCUGGAAAUAUCGGAGGGGAUGCUGCUACCUGCUUUGCAGCAGUACUGUCAACAGCAGCAGCUGCCUGUCCCUUGUUCUGACCAGGGCCACCAGGAUGCAGGGGACCCUGCCUCCCUAGCCUCCAGGGCUUCUCCUACAGCUGGGGUAGUAGCAGAAGGAAAGAUGCCAAGCCAUCCAGGAAGAAGUGGGUACUGUACUGGAGAACAGGGGGGUUUGAACUCCCCCCACCAACA